CGGCUGUCUCUUUUGAUAACUACUCAACGCUGCACAGCACAGGACUCAAUCACUCAUAAUUAUUUUAUAUUUUAUCUUUUAUGGGGGACGCCCCACUCUUAAUUUUUAUCACUGAAUGGCUGCUGACGUACGUAUAUAUAAGAGCACUACAAGAUACGACAGGAAAGGGUCAGUAUAAUAAUUAUGCCGCAACAUAGAAUGCUGGCUUUCUGAUCGAGGAGGAGAUGAUCUGUUAUUGGCCGGGGAUGGAGUCCUCUGAGAGACAAAGGGCCAGUUACUGUAUCAUGUAUGAAUAUUCUGUUGCUUGUACAUUUCGUAGCAAUUGACUCUAGAGUAGCAUCUUGAGCUCCCCUUUCUUCAUCACUCAAUCUGCAGGCAGUGUAUGUGAUUUUCUGACAGGAAAGGCUACUCUAAACAGAGGGAGUCGGCCACACAAGAGAGGACUCCCACGGUGGCAAUGAAUGUGAGGCAAUGAUCUGAUGAUGGCUCCACUGCUCUGAUGGACCAAUGCAGGAGAAGUUAUUCUUCGGAGGGACAGCAAGUUCUACUAAGAGCCAGCAUCACCAACUAACCAACACACUACAAGACCUACCUACUACCAGCUAGGACAGCACACCACCCGGGACAGACUCUACUAUACCAUGUAAUACGCCUUUGUAUUACGAUCAUGAUACAAUUUGCUGCCCUCCCUCGCCAAUGGAUUGAAUAAUUAUGGACACUCGCAGGACAACUAAGAGACUGACACACAAUAAUAGACACCAAAGGGCCAGUUACUGUAUCAUGUACGAAUAUUCUGUUGCUUGUACAUUUCGUAAUGUAAUUGACUGUAGAGUAGCAUUUUGAGCUCCCCUUUCUUCAUCACUCAAUCUGCAGGCAGUGUAUGUGAUUUUCUGACAGGAAAGGCUACUCUAAACAGAGGGAGUCGGCCACACAAGGUAUAGUCUAAUAAUUAUUGUACAGUACUAGAUGAUCUUCUCUGUUUUGGGUCAGAUGCAAUUGCCUUGAAUCACUAGCCAGUUUAAAACAUUUCUUCUACUCUUGGCUUAAGAAAUUGUAUUUUAUUAUUGUACCAGCAUUAGGUAGUUAACUCCACUUAUGCAUUGACCUCUGCGUGUAGCGGGAAAGUUCGUUAUUUGAGCCCUCGAGAAAUGUUGUAUAGUUGUUCACAUUUCAAUGCCAGGAAACCAUAGCUUUGCAUGGUGCGUGGGAGUGUCUUCCAUUUAUAUUACAUGAAGUGUGAAGUGUGUUGUAAGUUUAUACAGAGAGGACUCCCAUGGUGGGAAUGAUCUGAUGAUGGCCCCACUGCUCUGAUGGACCAAUGCAGGAGAAGUUAUUCUGUAUAAUUAUUACACUAAAUUAAUGUAUGCCACUGUUUGGAUCGGUUUCUGUUCUGCUCAGCUUCUUCCUCCAACUUGCUUACGCAGGCUAAGCUUAUUCUUAAUUAGUUCAUUCUUAGUUCAUUCUAUAGUCUAGUAUUAUUGUCGGUUUGGUUGUUUUAUGUUUUUCACCUGGUCAUACGGAAUCACUUCAUUAAUUUUUAUACAGUGCAGACCGCACCUCUAUCCACACAUUGUACCUGCACAUCCUGUAUAUAUGGGGCCACACCCCCACUCACUGUACUGAUAUGUGGUCACACCCCCAUACAUGGUAACCCUCUUGACCACACCCCAAUCCUAUGCUGUGUUUUUGUGUACAGUACACACAUCAUCCGUGUCUUUAUCCCCACACCUAGUCGGAGGGAGCAGCAAGUUCUACUAAGAGCCAGCAUCACCCACUAACCAACACUCUACAAGACCUACCUACUACCAGCUAGGACAGCACACCACCCGGGACAGACUCUACUAUACCCAUGUAAUACGCCUUUGUAUUACGAUCAUGAUACAAUUUGCUGCCCUCCCUCGCCAAUGGAUUGAAUAAUUAUGGACACUCGCAGGACAACUAAGAGACUGACACACAAUAAUAGACACCAAAGGCAGUGUAUGUGAUUUUCUGACAGGAAAGGCUACUCUAAACAAAGGGAGUCGGCCACACAAGUCGGAGGGAGCAGCAAGUUCUACUAAGAGCCAGCAUCACCAACUAACCAACACUACAAGACCUACCUACUACCAGCUAGGACAGCACACCACCCGGGACAGACUCUACUAUACCAUGUAAUACGCCUUUUUAUUACGAUCAUGAUACAAUUUGCUGCCCUCCCUUGCCCAUGGAUUGAAUAAUUAUGGACACUCGCAGGACAACUAAGAGACUGACACACAAUAAUAGACACCUAACUGCAUUUUUGCCAUUAAUAUAAUAAAAAUAAUUUUGCCAUUAA